GACGAACGCUGGCGGCGUGCCUAAUACAUGCAAGUCGAGCGGAUGGAAGGAAGCUUGCUUCCUAAAGUCAGCGGCGGACGGGUGAGUAACACGUGGGCAACCUGCCCCUAAGAUCAGGAUAACUUCGGGAAACCGGAGCUAAUACCGGAUAUGAUUAUGUCUCACAUGAGACAUAAUGGAAAGACGGUUUCGGCUGUCACUUAGGGAUGGGCCCGCGGCGCAUUAGCUAGUUGGUGAGGUAACGGCUCACCAAGGCGACGAUGCGUAGCCGACCUGAGAGGGUGAUCGGCCACACUGGGACUGAGACACGGCCCAGACUCCUACGGGAGGCAGCAGUAGGGAAUCUUCCGCAAUGGACGAAAGUCUGACGGAGCAACGCCGCGUGAGUGAAGAAGGUUUUCGGAUCGUAAAACUCUGUUGUUAGGGAAGAACAAGUACCAUAGUAACUGAUGGUACCUUGACGGUACCUAACCAGAAAGCCACGGCUAACUACGUGCCAGCAGCCGCCGUAAGAC
rnacentral:rRNA from 1 species